rnacentral:rRNA from 1 species
GACGAACGCUGGCGGCGUGCUUAACACAUGCAAGUCGAGCGAGGCCCACCUUUCGGGGUGGUGCCCUAGCGGCGAACGGGUGAGUAACACGUGGGCAACCUGCCCUCAGCUCUGGGAUAACUCCAAGAAAUUGGUGCUAAUACCGGAUGUGACCGCUGACCGCAUGGUCUGGUGGUGGAAAGAUUUAUCGGCUGAGGAUGGGCCCGCGGCCUAUCAGCUUGUUGGUGGGGUCACGGCCCACCAAGGCGACGACGGGUAGCCGGCCUGAGAGGGUGACCGGCCACACUGGGACUGAGACACGGCCCAGACUCCUACGGGAGGCAGCAGUGGGGAAUAUUGCGCAAUGGGCGAAAGCCUGACGCAGCGACGCCGCGUGAGGGAUGACGGCCUGG